GUGGCCUUUUAAGCAGAAGCCAGAGGGUUGGCUCGCUGUCUUUCCACCAUGUGAGGAUACAACAAAAAGAAAGAAGUCCACAACCUGAGACUUUGGAGGACAUGUAUUGUAUCUGGCAGCUUCACAGAAACCUUUGAGACCUGAAUCACCCUUGGGAGGAGAGCUGUCAAAAAGAGCACAGUGUCUCAUGCCUGUAAUCCCAGCACUUUGGGAGGCCGAGUGUUUGGUCUAUGGGAGAGAGAAGAAAAGAGAAAGAGAGAACGAAAAGGGGAAAUGGUACUGUAAAAUAUGAUGAAUUCACCCUUGUGGAUGGUACUUUGAAGAUGUUUCCACUUCCCUUCGAAGGUGUUCAAUGUCCGUACAUAGAAUGAAAGGUGCCACCUUCUCCAGCAUGAGACAUAUCCCCAUGUGAUCCCUUACCACGCAGACUCCUGGCUGAGUUAGGAAGAAAGAACAGAAGUCAAUGCAUUCCAUUUAUUUUCAAGGCACACCCAAAAAGACUCAGAAAACGAUGGAUGGCAAGUACUCCCCCUUUCCAAAGUGAGGUGCUGACCACUGGUAAUGCAGUAAAUCUUGAGGGUAUCAAAGGAUUGAAAUGGAAGAGCCCUGAAAAUUGGACAUUAAAAAGGCAUUAAUUUCAAGAGC